CUGCUGGAACUUCGCGUGCUUCCCGCGUGCAAGGUACGACCGUCGCUCCCGCUGCCGUCGCUGAUCCAACGCCCCUUCCGAGGCGCCGCCGGCCGCGAGGUCCUCGUCGCUCCCGCGGGUCUUCGUCCCUCCCGGCCUAUGACCUGCGCCACUUUCUGUCGGGAUCCUCGAAGCCAGCCCCUUAAGUUCGUCCGGGGGGCGUCCGCGACCGCGACCACGCUCAUCCGGGCCGUGGAUCCGCCUCCAUGGGACGACGUCUGGGGCGCGCCUCGUUCAACUUCUCUCC
rnacentral:lncRNA from 1 species